CUUCUAAAGUCUAACUAGCUUAGUAAUAUUAAUUAGUUGGGAUAAGAGCAAGUUAGAAGUAGAAAAAUCAUUCCCCAGUAGGUACCCUAAAGCAGACUACACCACCUCCUGCUGCUCCAAUGGCAGCCCCCCUAUAUGGAAAGUCCUCCAAACAAGUAGGCAGCAAAACUAAAAAUAAAGCGGACCAGUAAGAUGGAGCAUGCAUGCGGGUAAACAAUAUACUGCUUGUGCUAGCUAUAUCACACCACUGCUACUAGAAAGGAGUACCCCGUACAGAGAAUACUAUGUAGCAGCGAUGGGACUGAUCAGGAGGGUAGAGCACGAAUACUGCUGGAUGGUACACUGAUAUCUGUUGGUGCUUACUAGACCACCCCCUCUGCUUCAAGGAAGCCCCCCAAAAUAAAAUAAAUCAGAGUCUAACUGGUACCACAGUCAAUUCUAUCUCUCUAUCUAUCUCCGUCUAUCUAUCUAUUAUCUAUCUAUCUCCGUCUAUCUAUCUAUCUAUCUCUGUCUAUCUAUCUAUUAUCUAUCUACCUAUCUAG